GUCAAUCAGUCGUUGGUUGGCAGCUGUGGGAUAUAGUCAAUUUACGGAUGGCGGAAUAAAAAUGUAUAUAGAACAGCAAAAAUAAAUACUAGCACAGCUGAAUACACACACACAUGUAUAUAUGUACACAAAUACAAAAACAAGUAUAGCAAUGGAGCUCAUAGUACAUAUGGAUCUAUAAAUAAAUAUGUACUGCUUGGGUACUUUUUGUUGCUAAAACGCUGGCUUAAAAAUUUAAAACGUGAAUGAGCACAGCAAUUGCAAUUGAAAGUUCCCUAAAUAAAUGGAGAAAAAACAUGAGCUUCUAGAAAGUUUGCUGUUGUAGUCAAAAAAGGAAAAUAGGCAUUUGCACAAAACAAAAUACGACAACAUUCUUGGCUAACCAAAUACAUACAUGAAAUCUUAUAACGUAAACUUACUAAGGACUUUGUGGUUCUUACACUCUUAUAACUGCUCAUGGGUUUUUACUUAUGCAAGUAUUCGUUUAAACAAAACUACACUAUCGAUCCAGCUGUCCGAUUGGACUAUAAAAUCUGGACGAAGCUUGCAACAACAAAGUUGUGCUUGGGAAUGUUUAUCUGUCUUUUUUUUUGUGUUAAGCGGUUUAGUACGAGGAAAAAAGCAUAAUUAAAUUGCUAUCUGUACCAUUUUUUUGCUUAUGUGUUAGGGUGACAAAAAUUAGCAAGCACAUCGUUUACAUAUGUUUGCAUGUUUUUGCCAUUAUUCCUCGUCAUCGCUUGACGUCAGUAAAUAAAAUUAAAUGGAUUGCUAUUUUGAGCGAGCACUUGAGAAAAUAAAAGAAACGUAUGCGAUUUAUUUGACACCAAAUAGUACAGGGUUGUAU